GCGGGAAUAGCUCAGCUGGCUAGAGCACAACCUUGCCAAGGUUGGGGUCGCGGGUUCGAAUCCCGUUUCCCGCUCCA
rnacentral:tRNA from 1 species